rnacentral:rRNA from 1 species
GACGAACGCUGGCGGCGUGCUUAAUACAUGCAAGUCAACUUGACUUUAGAUAGCAAUAUCGAAAAGUAGGGUGGCGCACGGGUGCGUAACGCGUAGGUAAUCUGCCCUGAGGUCUGACAUAACCCGUCGAAAGGCGGGCUAACAUCAGAUGAUAUAUAAUCACGACAUCGUGGAAAUAUCAAAUCUUCGGAGCCUUGGGAUGAGCCUGCGUCUGAUUAGGUAGUUGGCGGAGUAAUAGCCCACCAAGCCUACGAUCAGUAGCUGGUCUGAGAGGAUGAUCAGCCACACUGGAACUGAGACACGGUCCAAACUCCUACGGGAGGCAGCAGUGGGGAAUAUUGCACAAUGGCGGAAAGGACCUCGAUGCAGCAACGACCGCGUGAGCGAUGAAGG